rnacentral:lncRNA from 1 species
CAACUUUCACAUAAAAAAAACAAUAUGAGAUCAAUCCAAACACUCUAACUUCUCACCAAGAAACCGCUAGAAAACAAAACCCUAACUAAAGAAAACAAAAAACAAAACUUACGUUGUCGAUGGUUUCGAAGAGCUUGCCGGUAAGUUCUUUAAGGUUCUUUUUCUCUUCUUUAGGCUUAGCAGAGAUAACGGUGUUAAGAUCGUAACGAAGGUACGAAGCUCUUAAACGGAGAUCGUUCUGAACGUAAGGCCAAGCUUUUUUGUCGAUCAGUGACUUAACGUUAAUGAUCUCUUUAGCAGAUUCUUUGGCUCUAGCUGCAGCUUCUGUUGGUGACAAUGGUUGUAUGUAAAAUCUGUCUUUCAAUGCCAAUGAAAAAUCUCUUGCUUGGUCUGAGUUAUCUGUUCCAGCUGCUCACACAAAAAAAAAAAAAAAUCAAAGCCAUAAUCAUUCAAACAGAACCGAUCUCUAUAAUCUAAUUAGUAAUCUCUAAAACUUAAUUAUAUCUUUAAAAAGUGAUUAAAGAUACGUUUGAUAAAAAAAAACCAAAAUUGAAAUCAUAACAAAUAGACGUAUAUUUUACAUUUAAAUCUAUAUUUUCAAUUUGUUUUUUAAAAAGAUCUAUAUUUUAAGUUUUAACAAAUUAAAUAAGGGUGUUCGAGUCUAACAAACCAAAUCGGUUCAAACCAAACCGCGAUUGAACCGGACUUUUAUUUGGUUUGCAUAUCUAAACCAAAACAGAAACAAAAAUAAAAAAUACAAAACAUAAACUCAAGAUUAUUGUACUUUCAAUAUCCCAAAAAAAAAAAAAGAAGAAGAAAAAAAAAACGGUUUCCAGACCAAAACAUGCAAUAUAUUUCGGUUUGUUUUCUCCUUAACCAAAAAAAAUACCGUUCGGAUUAUAUUAUUAAUAGUCAAUAAUGUAAAAUUUGAUUCAAUUAGUAUUACUUACGUAGGCCACCGGAAGGAAGUGGAGGAGGACCAACUUUGAUCGGAAUAGCUUCGGCGAAAACAGCUUUAACGAAUGAACUACCGG